GAUGAACGCUGGCGGCGUGCCUAAUACAUGCAAGUCGAGCGAAUGGAUUAAGAGCUUGCUCUUAUGAAGUUAGCGGCGGACGGGUGAGUAACACGUGGGUAACCUGCCCAUAAGACUGGGAUAACUCCGGGAAACCGGGGCUAAUACCGGAUACGUGCGAGAGCAGAAAGAUUUAUCGCUGAAGGAUCGGCCCGCGUCUGAUUAGCUAGUUGGUGGGGUAAUGGCCCACCAAGGCGACGAUCAGUAGCUGGUCUGAGAGGAUGAUCAGCCACAUUGGGACUGAGACACGGCCCAAACUCCUACGGGAGGCAGCAGUGGGGAAUCUUGCGCAAUGCGCGAAAGCGUGACGCAGCAACGCCGCGUGAGGGAAGAAGGCCUUCGGGUUGUAAACCUCUUUCAGGAGGGACGAAGGUUCAGGCGCGAACAGCGUCCUGAACUGACGGUACCUCCAGAAGAAGCCCCGGCUAACUACGUGCCAGCCGCCGCAGUAA
rnacentral:rRNA from 1 species